UGAGGGCAUGUCAUUCAAUUGUAUUGCCUGAGGUGGUGUGACGGAAGCUCUUUGCACGGAGUUUGUAUCCUGCCGACGAUGCAGAUCUUGCUCGGGCACAUGCUUAUGUUAAGGCUGGAGAUGAUCUCUGAGCUUGGGCGUGUUAUUAGGCGGGUGUUGCACUGAGAGGGCAUGUCAUUCAAUUGUAUUGCCUGACCUUGUGUGGCAGAAGCUUAUGCGCAUUCCCUGUUGCGAGGAGUUUGGAUCUGGUCGAUGAUACAUGUCUAGCAUGGGCUUGUGCUUGUGUUAAGGCUGGAGAUGAGCGCUGUGCUCCAACGUGCUAAUGAUCGG
rnacentral:lncRNA from 1 species